rnacentral:tRNA from 1 species
GGGAUUGUAGUUCAAUUGGUUAGAGCACUGCCCUGUCACGGCAGAUGUUGCGGGUUCGAGUCCCGUCAAUCCCG